UACAGAGGGUGCAAGCGUUGCUCGGAUUUACUGGGCGUAAAGCGUGCGCAGACGGCCACGCAGGUCGGGUGUGAAAGCCCCGGGCUCAACCCGGGAACUGCACUCGAAACCAUGUGGCUCGAGUAUGAGAGAGGAAAGCGGAAUUCCCGGUGUAGAGGUGAAAUUCGUAGAUAUCGGGAGGAACACCAGCGGCGAAGGCGGCUUUCUGGCUCAUUACUGACGUUCAGGCACGAAAGCGUGGGUAGCAAACAGG
rnacentral:rRNA from 1 species